UGGGGAAUUUUGGACAAUGGGGGAAACCCUGAUCCAGCCAUCCCGCGUGUGCGAUGAAGGCCUUCGGGUUGUAAAGCACUUUUGGCAGGAAAGAAACGUCAUGGGUUAAUACCCCGUGAAACUGACGGUACCUGCAGAAUAAGCACCGGCUAACUACGUGCCAGCAGCCGCGGUAAUACGUAGGGUGCAAGCGUUAAUCGGAAUUACUGGGCGUAAAGCGUGCGCAGGCGGUUCGGAAAGAAAGAUGUGAAAUCCCAGAGCUCAACUUUGGAACUGCGUUUUUAACUACCGGGCUGGAGGGUGUCAGAGGGAGGUGGAAUUCCGCGUGUAGCAGUGAAAUGCGUAGAUAUGCGGAGGAACACCGAUGGCGAAGGCAGCCUCCUGGGAUAACACUGACGCUCAUGCACGAAAGCGUGGGGAGCAAACAGG
rnacentral:rRNA from 1 species